UGAACGCUAGCUACAGGCUUAACACAUGCAAGUCGAGGGGCAGCAUGGUCUUAGCUUGCCAAGGCCGAUGGCGACCGGCGCACGGGUGAGUAACGCGUAUCCAACCUGCCUUACACUCUUGGACAGCCUUCUGAAAGGGAGAUUAAUACAAGAUGUUAUCAUGAGUAAGCAUUUUCGCAUGAUUAAAGGUUUACCGGUGUAAGAUGGGGAUGCGUUCCAUUAGAUAGUAGGCGGGGUAACGGCCCACCUAGUCUUCGAUGGAUAGGGGUUCUGAGAGGAAGGUCCCCCACAUUGGAACUGAGACACGGUCCAAACUCCUACGGGAGGCAGCAGUGAGGAAUAUUGGUCAAUGGACGAGAGUCUGAACCAGCCAAGUAGCGUGAAGGAUGAAGGUUCUAUGGAUUGUAAACUUCUUUUAUACGGGAAUAAACGAAUCCACGUGUGGAUUUUUGCAUGUACCGUAUGAAUAAGGAUCGGCUAACUCCGUGCCAGCAGCCGCGGUAAUACGGAGGAUCCGAGCGUUAUCCGGAUUUAUUGGGUUUAAAGGGAGCGUAGAUGGGUUGUUAAGUCAGUUGUGAAAGUUUGCGGCUCAACCGUAAAAUUGCAAUUGAUACUGGCAGUCUUGAGUACAGUUGAGGUAGGCGGAAUUCGUGGUGUAGCGGUGAAAUGCUUAGAUAUCACGAAGAACUCCGAUUGCGAAGGCAGCUUACUAACCUGUAACUGACAUUGAUGCUCGAAAGUGUGGGUAUCAAACAGGAUUAGAUACCCUGGUAGUCCACACGGUAAACGAUGAAUACUCGCUGUAGGCGAUAUACAGUCUGCGGCCAAGCGAAAGCAUUAAGUAUUCCACCUGGGGAGUACGCCGGCAACGGUGAAACUCAAAGGAAUUGACGGGGGCCCGCACAAGCGGAGGAACAUGUGGUUUAAUUCGAUGAUACGCGAGGAACCUUACCCGGGCUUAAAUUGCAACCGAAUAUGGCGGAAACGCUAUAGCUAGCAAUAGCGGUUGUGAAGGUGCUGCAUGGUUGUCGUCAGCUCGUGCCGUGAGGUGUCGGCUUAAGUGCCAUAACGAGCGCAACCCUUGCCGAUAGUUACUAACAGGUCAUGCUGAGGACUCUGUCGGGACUGCCAUCGUAAGAUGUGAGGAAGGUGGGGAUGACGUCAAAUCAGCACGGCCCUUACGUCCGGGGCUACACACGUGUUACAAUGGGGGGUACAGAGGGCUGCUACCACGCAAGUGGAUGCCAAUCCCAAAAACCUCUCUCAGUUCGGAUUGAAGUCUGCAACCCGACUUCAUGAAGCUGGAUUCGCUAGUAAUCGCGCAUCAGCCACGGCGCGGUGAAUACGUUCCCGGGCCUUGUACACACCGCCCGUCAAGCCAUGGGAGCCGGGGGUACCUGAAGUGCGUAACCGCAAGGAGCGCCCUAGGGUAAAACUGGUGACUGGGGCUAAGU
rnacentral:rRNA from 1 species